GGAUGGAUCAUUAUCAAACACUAUUUUUAACAACCACACAAAAUAAACUGCCUCUCUGUCAAAACUUUGUCUUGCUUGCUUUCUUUUCAAGAGAGUGAAUGAGAAAAAGAAAGAGAGAGAGAGAGGAACAAAGUCACUUUGAGACACACACACUCGCCAAUCACUCACAAACACACAGGCUUUCAAUCACACUCACUCACUCGCUGUCAGAGUGUUGUUGUUGGGGUUGUCAUUUUGAUGAGCACACACAAACAUCAUUUUGACAAACACAACAACAACAACACUCGGACACAGUCACAACAAACACCGACACAGCACACACGCUGAGAGAGAGGGAGUGAGAGAGAGCAUGUGACAGUGAGUGAGAGUGUGGGUUGUCAGAGAGACUUCAAAGGGUUGUUUGUUGGUUGGUGGUGGUGUCUGUGUUGGGUGAGUCACUCUCAUUCAACCGACCAUCAACCAACCAACAAGCCCUCCUGAUUUUGAGAACAAAGUGUCUCUGUCCUCCUCUUCACUCUCUUUGUUUACAUCGAGAGAGAGAGAGAGAGGGUGACAGACAGUGAGUUUUCAAAAACAAACAAACAAACACAUCAAAAACCCAGUCAAUUUGAAACCAAAACGUUGCAAAACAAAAAAUAAAAUAAAAACAAGAAAUCAACUCUGAACAAUGGAUAUCUUGGCUUUCGCAACGAUGAAGAACGCAGCAAACUGCGAUAAUUAAUGUGAAUUGCAGAACUCCGUGAAUCAUCAAAACUUUGAACGCAUGUUGCGCUGUCGGGCAAAUCAAACAUCCCUUCAGCAUGCCUGUUUGAGCACGAGAUGUUUUCACCAUCAUUUUCUUUUCUUUUUUUUCAAUCUCCACAGUUUGGAACAAAGAGAAAGAGAGUGGAUCAUUGGGUCAUGUCAAAGAGAUUCUCACAAAGGAUUUCUUCGUCACCUCAAAAGAGAGUCAUUCUUGAGAGAGAGCACACAGCACACACUGUGUCACUCACUUCGAGAACACUUUGUUUUUCAUCACUGUCACUCACUCUCACUUUGUGAUUGUGUGUUGUCACGGUGGUGAGCAAGUGUUGUUUGUUGGUGGGUGUGAUUGAUGUGUUCACAAGUGUGUUUGGUUGGUUGGUUCUGUUGUCAGAUUUCAAACACCGACUCCCGCUCUUCAUUCACCAAAACACACACGCUCCCCUUCUUUCCUUCUCCCACAAUGAGUUUGGAGAGAGAGAGAGUGUGUUUGUUUUGAAAAGCAAGAGAGAGAAGCGAUCAGCGAAUCUGACAAAGGAAACAACAACACAGCACACACAAGGACACACCAUUUGACAACAACUUGUUUUGAUUGUCACACACUCUGUCAUUCAACUCUCGAUCUCUUCAAGAAAUUAAGACCAAAUCUCACAAAAAAGAAAACAAAACAAAAAUAACAUCAAAAUCACGAUCUCAAAUCAGGCAAGAAGACCCACUGAACUUAAGCAUAUCAAUCAGUGGAGGAAAAGAAACUAACAAGGAUUCCCUGAGUAACGGCGAGUGAAACGGGACAAGCUCACCUUUGAAAUCUGAACGCUCUCCAGACAUGCAAGUGUCGUCAUCAAAGAGAGUUCCGAAUUGUGGUCUUGAGAGCUCACAUCCACACACAGUCCGUCGUUUGAUCAAAGUCCUUUGGAAAAAGGCAUCAACGAGGGUGACAAUCCCGUUCAUGAUCAAGACUUGCAGAUUGUGCCAAGCAAUUGGAAAAGUGUGUUGUGUUUGUCUCAGUGAGUCGGGUUGUUUGAGAAUGCAGCCCAAAGUGGGGUGGUAAAUUCCAUCGAAAGCUAAACACAGGCGAAAGACCGAUAGCGCACAAGUACCGUGAGGGAAAGAUGCAAAGAACUUUGAAAAGAGAGUCAAAAGGACUUGAAAUUGCUCAGAGGGAAGCUUUUGAGGCUCCUCUUCGUUCCUUUUAUGAAACGCACCCCUUGUGCAAAUUCAGCUCUUUGUUGUCAUGUCACACAGAUUCACUUCAUGUUGAGAGAGGAAAUGAUUUUCUGAGGGUCAAACCUUGGGAACUCUCUUGAUUGUCGAAUGAGUUUGUUGGUUGUGAUGAAAAGGGUGCACUUUUGUCAAGGAUUUGGUGAGCCAGCAUCAGUUUUUCGUGAAUUUCAUCAACGAACAUGACAGGUCAAAGCCAACAGGUCAAUUUUAGAAGUAGCUUCUUUUGUUUUUAACGAGACAAAAGGGGUGACACCUGUUCGGAUCUUGUUCCUGUCCGAAAGACUGAGGAAAAGACACACCAUGGUUAUCCUUUAUUUCACUUGGGGAUUCUCUGAGAGCAACGGUUGUUUGCUGGGAUGAUUUUCUUUGUCAUGAAACGAGUUUUCUUUCUUGUUGACCGUCAAAAAGUUGAUGAGGGAGGGGAUGACGCUGUGGUGGAGAGAGUUGUUUCACGGGUGAUCGUUGUGCGUGUGAGUCUGUUUGAUCAGUGCAACACGUCCAGUUUCAGUGCAGAUCCUUGUGAGAAGAGACAGCAUGGAAUCAAGAUGCUUUGGCAAAAAAGGGCCUCAAACGACCCGUCUUGAAACACGGACCAAGGAGUCUAUCGUUCAUGCGAGCAUUUGAGUUUCAAGCAAACUCUUUCAACAAUGCGAAAUGAAAGUGAAUCAAGUGGGAAAGAAAGGGCUUUAUUGUUCUUUCUGGCACCACUGGCCGAUUUGGAUCUCUGUCUCUCUGUCACCGGAGAGCAGGUGAAAAAGUUGAGCCGAGAGCAUGACUGAUAGGACCCGAAAGAUGGUGAACUAUGCCUGCGCAGGAUGAAGCCAGAGGAAACUCUGGUGGAGGUCCGCCGCGGUGAUAACGUGCAAAUUUCUUCGUCAAACGUGGGCAUAGGGGCGAAAGACCAAUCGAACCAUCUGGUAGCUGGUUCCCUC
rnacentral:misc_RNA from 1 species